AAUUGGGUGGAAAUGCUCACCUUUGAUGCACACCAAUGCCCAUCCAAGUUUCAAACCAGCCCGAUUUUUUCCUUCAUCCAGACCAGAUGAAGGGUUUGAAUGGCCUGGAUGACAUAUACACAACUAUCUUUCAUGAAUCUUUAUUUUUAAUUGUUUUUCUGAUUUAUUUUUUUAUUCUUAUUGUGUUUUUAGAAGCAAAUGACAGGGAAGCUGCAAAGGCCGCUGAACAGCUGCAAUCUGUUGGAAUUUCUGGCAGCGGCGAUGGUGCAGCAGCAGCAGCUACUUCAGCCUGUUCACAAAUGGAUGGUUUGUCAUAUUUAUUUUCCAUGCUUACGUAAUGGGAUAGCAAAGGUAAUUCUUUCUUUAGGUUUACAAGGUGUUCUACACAUUGUCACCAACAUGAUUAUAGUUGCCAAGCAGUGUUGCUCUGUUUUUUUUUUUUCCUUGUACUAUUCUGUUGUCAGCCUUCCUUUCUUUUUGUUUUUCAUUCAGUGGGUUUUUCAGAUCUUUUAUCCUGUGGAGGAACCCAUGAGUAGCUCUGGACCCACUCUGUCAAGAUAUCAAAGCUUCAACCAAGACAAUGAGGAUUAUGACUAGCAUUAACUUUGCACUGCAAUUCGUUUGAAGAUGAUCAAAAUUUUUGGGGCAAGUGAAAUGCUUAAUCAAAAUUUCUUCUUGAUGUAGCUGAUCAUCCAAAGGUAGACAACUAUUUUUCAGAUACAAGACUAGCGGCAUAUGUGGUACCAUAUAUUACAAUUCUUAAUCUGCAUGCCACAAAUCAUGCUCACACUUUGUGGGUGUUUCUAUUUGAGAAUGUGUGAGGUUUGAUAUGCAUCCA